rnacentral:rRNA from 1 species
AACGAACGCUGGCGGCAGGCUUAACACAUGCAAGUCGAACGGUUGUAGCAAUACAGCAGUGGCAGACGGGUGAGUAACACGUGGGAACCUUCCUAGGGGGUACGGAACAACUCAGGGAAACUUGAGCUAAUACCGUAUACGUCCGUGAGGAGAAAGAUUUAUCGCCCUUAGACGGGCCCGCGUCGGAUUAGCUAGUUGGUGGGUAACGGCCUACCAAGGCGACGAUCCGUAGCUGAUCUUAGAGGAUGAUCAGCCACACUGGGACUGAGACACGGCCCAGACUCCUACGGGAGGCAGCAGUGGGGAAUCUUGGACAAUGGGCGCAAGCCUGAUCCAGCCAUGCCGCGUGAGUGAAGAAGGUCUUCGGAUUGUAAAGCUCUUUUGCCAGGGACGAUAAUGACGGUACCUGGAGAAUAAGCCCCGGCAAACUUCGUGCCAGCAGCCGCGGUAAU